GAUGAACGCUGGCGGCGUGCCAAAUACAUGCAAGUCGAGCGAACAGACGAGGAGCUUGCUCCUCUGACGUUAGCGGCGGACGGGUGAGUAACACGUGGAUAACCUACCUAUAAGACUGGGAUAACUUCGGGAAACCGGAGCUAAUACCGGAUAAUAUAUUGAACCGCAUGGUUCAAUAGUGAAAGACGGUUUUGCUGUCACUUAUAGAUGGAUCCGCGCCGCAUUAGCUAGUUGGUAAGGUAACGGCUUACCAAGGCAACGAUGCGUAGCCGACCUGAGAGGGUGAUCGGCCACACUGGAACUGAGACACGGUCCAGACUCCUACGGGAGGCAGCAGUAGGGAAUCUUCCGCAAUGGGCGAAAGCUUGACGGAGCAACGCCGCGUGAGUGAUGAAGGUCUUCGGAUCGUAAAGCUCUGUUAUUAGGGAAGAACAAAUGUGUAAGUAACUAUGCACGUCUUGACGGUACCUAAUCAGAAAGCCACGGCUAACUACGUG
rnacentral:rRNA from 1 species